rnacentral:tRNA from 1 species
UACAUACUUGCUCAAUGGUAGAGCAGCCGCCUUUUAAGCGAUUGGUUACAGGUUCAAAUCCUGUGUAUGAUCCA